GACGAACGCUGGCGGCGUGCUUAACACAUGCAAGUCGAACGAAGAGCGACGGAAGCUUGCUUCUAUCAAUCUUAGUGGCGAACGGGUGAGUAACGCGUAAUCAACCUGCCCUUCAGAGGGGGACAACAGUUGGAAACGAAUGCUAAUACCGCAUACGAUCUAACCUCGGCAUCGAGGAUAGAUGAAAGGUGGCCUCUACAUGUAAGCUAUCACUGAAGGCGGGGAUUGCGUCUGAUUAGCUAGUUGGGGGGGUAAAGACCCACCAAGGCGAUGAUCAGUAGCCGGUCUGAGAGGAUGAACGGCCACAUUGGGACUGAGACACGGCCCAGAAUCCUACGGGGGGCAGCAGUGGGGAAUCUUCCGCAAUGGACGAAAGCCUGAAGGAGCAACGCCGCGUGAGGGAUGACGGCCUUCGGGUUGUAAAGCUCUGUUAAUCGGGAAGAAAGGCCUUCUUGAGAAUAGUGAGAAGGAUUGACGGUACCGGAAUAGAAAGCCACGGCUAACUACGUG
rnacentral:rRNA from 1 species